GACGAACCGUGCGAACGUUGUUCGGAAUCACUGGGCUUAAAGGGCGCGUAGGCGGGUGGUCUUGUCCGGGGGUGAAAGCCUCCCGCUCAACGGGAGAAGGGCCUCGGAAACGGGCCGCCUCGAGGGGGAUAGGGGCAUGUGGAACUUCCGGUGGGAGCGGUGAAAUGCGUAGAUAUCGGAAGGAACGCCGGUGGCGAAAGCGACGUGCUGGGUCCCUUCUGACGCUGAGGCGCGAAAGCCAGGGGAGCAAACGGG
rnacentral:rRNA from 1 species